UGGUGUGAUAAAAAAAAAAAAAAAACAAGGUUUCCGUAGGUGAACCUGCGGAAGGAUCAUUACAGUAUUCUUUUGCCAGCGCUUAACUGCGCGGCGAAAAACCUUACACACAGUGUCUUUUUGAUACAGAACUCUUGCUUUGGUUUGGCCUAGAGAUAGGUUGGGCCAGAGGUUUAACAAAACACAAUUUAAUUAUUUUUACAGUUAGUCAAAUUUUGAAUUAAUCUUCAAAACUUUCAACAACGGAUCUCUUGGUUCUCGCAUCGAUGAAGAACGCAGCGAAAUGCGAUAAGUAAUAUGAAUUGCAGAUUUUCGUGAAUCAUCGAAUCUUUGAACGCACAUUGCGCCCUCUGGUAUUCCAGAGGGCAUGCCUGUUUGAGCGUCAUUUCUCUCUCAAACCCCCGGGUUUGGUAUUGAGUGAUACUCUUAGUCGGACUAGGCGUUUGCUUGAAAAGUAUUGGCAUGGGUAGUACUAGAUAGUGCUGUCGACCUCUCAAUGUAUUAGGUUUAUCCAACUCGUUGAAUGGUGUGGCGGGAUAUUUCUGGUAUUGUUGGCCCGGCCUUACAACAACCAAACAAGUUUGACCUCAAAUCAGGUAGAAUCCCCGUC
rnacentral:rRNA from 1 species